GGAAUCAGACCCUAAAACCCUCUGAAGAUCCAGCUCUCUUGUUCCAUCAGCUCUUUUAUUUUUGCUCUUCACUCGAAGUUUGGAGCAGUUUUUUUUCUUUGGAUUUUCUAGGUUCUCGAGCUGAAAUAUGACUUGAUAUUGAAGCUGUGUGUUGUUUCUUUGUUGUUGUAACCAGUAGCUGAGCCCAUUCGUUUAUUUUUAUGCUUCUAUUUGAUCCUUUCCCGUUAUUUCUGCUUUUAGGUAUGUAAACCCUCAGCUAUCCAAUUCUAUUUAGAGUUAAUGAAAUGAAAAUAUGAUCUUCUUCAUGAUACAUUUGUGUUUGAUUACUUAAGAUUAGAAUGUUUACUUGUUAAAGAUGGUUUUAAUUUCUGAUUUGGUAUGCAAUAUGAGAAUCAAGUCUUUUCAGUGUUAUUUGUUUGGCAUUCAGUGCUAUUUCGAGUUUGCUCACACCUAUUCUACCUCAUCUUGUUAAUAAUGGUUCAUGCUCGUAAGGUGGCGUUAAUUUCUGGUUUGUUAUGCAAUAUUUGAGUAAAGUCUUUUCAGUGUUAUUUUGAGUUUGCUCACACCUGUUUUAUCUCGCUUUGUUAAUAAGGAUUCAUGUUCAUAAGGUGAUUUAAGGGGUGGUCCACCUGUGAGACUGAUCACCAGUUGGUCAGAUUCUUUUCGGAGGAAGCCCAGCUCAAUAAGUUCUAAACACAGAAGUUCAAAAAUGAUAAAUUCCAUCAUUGUCACAUGAAUGUGAGUGCUAAUUAUAUAGAUUAGCUCUAUAAUUUUGAAGGUUUCAGAUGAUAAACAAUUGCUGAGAUUGAUAGAAUUAUUAAUGUAAUAAAAUUCGAUUUCUUAGAACUUGAUUUUUUUGAAAUAGUUUGUUAUCGGUAUCAAUCACCUUUGUAAUAGUGUGAAUCAUUUUAAUUUCAUGUCUAAAGUUGUAUGAAACAAGCUUUGGUAGUUUUUUUUUGUAAUCCAAGCCAAUCAAAUUGGGCCUAAGGGUCACGAUGGCAAGAUUAGUCUGGUCAAUGAG
rnacentral:lncRNA from 1 species